rnacentral:ncRNA from 1 species
UACCUGGUUGAUCCUGCCAGUAGUCAUAUGCUUGUCUCAAAGAUUAAGCCAUGCAAGUCUAAGUACGAGCUCUCGUACAGUGAAACUGCGAAUGGCUCAUUAAAUCAGUUAUGGUUCAUUUGAUCGUACAGUUUACUUGGAUAACUGUGGUAAUUCUAGAGCUAAUACAUGCGAGAAGCGGA